rnacentral:rRNA from 1 species
GACGAACGCUGGCGGCGUGCUUAACGCAUGCAAGUCGAACGCUGAAGCCUAGCUUGCUGGGUGGAUGAGUGGCGAACGGGUGAGUAACACGUGAGUAACCUGCCCCCUUCUUUGGGAUAACGCCCGGAAACGGGUGCUAAUACUGGAUAUUCACUGAUCUUCGCAUGGGGGUUGGUGGAAAGGUUUUUUCUGGUGGGGGAUGGGCUCGCGGCCUAUCAGCUUGUUGGUGGGGUGAUGGCCUACCAAGGCUUUGACGGGUAGCCGGCCUGAGAGGGUGACCGGUCACAUUGGGACUGAGAUACGGCCCAGACUCCUACGGGAGGCAGCAGUGGGGAAUAUUGCACAAUGGGCGAAAGCCUGAUGCAGCGACGCCGCGUGAGGGAUGGAGGCCUUCGGGUUGUAAACCUCUUUCGCUCAUGGUCAAGCCGCAACACGUGGUUGUGGUGAGGGUAGUGGGUAAAGAAGCGCCGGCUAACUACGUGCCAGCAGCCGCGGUAAUACGUAGGGCGCGAGCGUUGUCCGGAAUUAUUGGGCGUAAAGGGCUUGUAGGCGGUUGGUCGCGUCUGCCGUGAAAUCCUCUGGCUUAACUGGGGGCGUGCGGUGGGUACGGGCUGACUUGAGUGCGGUAGGGGAGACUGGAACUCCUGGUGUAGCGGUGGGAAUGCGCAUAUAUCAGGAAGAACACCGGUGGCGAAGGCGGGUCUCUGGGCCGUUACUGACGCUGAGGAGCGAAAGCGUGGGGAGCGAACAGG